rnacentral:rRNA from 1 species
GCGCAGCAGGCGCGAAAACUUUACAAUGUGCGAAAGCACGAUAAGGGAACUCUGAGUGCCUCCUAAGGAGGCUGUUCAGGUGUCUAAAAAGCACCUGGAGUAAGGGCUGGGUAAGACCGGUGCCAGCCGCCGCGGUAACACCGGCAGCCCAGGUGGUAGCCACUUUUAUUGGGUCUAAAGCGUCCGUAGCCGGUUGAGUAAGUUCCCUGGGAAAUUUGGCUGCUCAACAGUCAAGCUUCCAGGGAAUACUGCUCGACUUGGGGACUGGGAGAGGUCAGAGGUACUCCAGGGGUAGGGGUGAAAUCCAUUAAUCCCUGGGGGACCACCGGUAGCGAAGGCGUCUGACCAGACCAGGUCCGACGGUGAGGGACGAAGGCUAGGGUCGCGAACCGGAUUAGAUACCCGCGUAGU